GACGAGCGCUGGCGGCGUGCUUAACAUAUGCAAGUCGAACGGAAAGGCCCUGCUUUUGUGGGGUGCUCGAGUGGCGAACGGGUGAGUAACACGUGAGUAACCUGCCCUUGACUUUGGGAUAACUUCAGGAAACUGGGGCUAAUACCGGAUAGGAGCUCCUGCUGCGUGGUGGGGGUUGGAAAGUUUCGGCGGUUGGGGAUGGACUCGCGGCUUAUCAGCUUGUUGGUGGGGUAGUGGCUUACCAAGGCUUUGACGGGUAGCCGGCCUGAGAGGGUGACCGGCCACAUUGGGACUGAGAUACGGCCCAGACUCCUACGGGAGGCAGCAGUGGGGAAUAUUGCACAAUGGGCGGAAGCCUGAUGCAGCAACGCCGCGUGCGGGAUGACGGCCUUCGGGUUGUAAACCGCUUUCGCCUGUGACGAAGCGUGAGUGACGGUAAUGGGUAAAGAAGCACCGGCUAACUACGUG
rnacentral:rRNA from 1 species